rnacentral:rRNA from 1 species
AUUGAACGCUGGCGGCAGGCCUAACACAUGCAAGUCGAGCGGAUGAGGAAAGCUUGCUUUUCGAUUCAGCGGCGGACGGGUGAGUAAUGCCUAGGAAUCUGCCUGUUAGUGGGGGAUGACUCGGGGAAACUCGGGCUAAUACCGCAUACGUCCUACGGGAGAAAGUGGGGGAUGUUCGGACCUCACGCUAACAGAUGAGCCUAGGUCGGAUUAGCUAGUAGGUGAGGUAAUGGCUCACCUAGGCGACGAUCCGUAACUGGUCUGAGAGGAUGAUCAGUCACACUGGAACUGAGACACGGUCCAGACUCCUACGGGAGGCAGCAGUGGGGAAUAUUGGACAAUGGGCGAAAGCCUGAUCCAGCCAUGCCGCGUGUGUGAAGAAGGUCUUCGGAUUGUAAAGCACUUUAAGUUGGGAGGAAGGGUAUUCACCUAAUACGUGGGUACUUUGACGUUACCAACAGAAUAAGCACCGGCUAACUCUGUGCCAGCAGCCGCCGUAACAC